rnacentral:rRNA from 1 species
GACGAACGCUGGCGGCGUGCCUAAUACAUGCAAGUAGAACGCACAGUUUAUACCGUAGCUUGCUACACCAUAGACUGUGAGUUGCGAACGGGUGAGUAACGCGUAGGUAACCUGCCUGGUAGCGGGGGAUAACUAUUGGAAACGAUAGCUAAUACCGCAUAAUAUUAAUUAUUGCAUGAUAAUUGAUUGAAAGAUGCAACUGCAUCACUACCAGAUGGACCUGCGUUGUAUUAGCUAGUAGGUGAGGUAACGGCUCACCUAGGCGACGAUACAUAGCCGACCUGAGAUGGUGAUCGGCCACACUGGGACUGAGACACGGCCCAGACUCCUACGGGAGGCAGCAGUAGGGAAUCUUCGGCAAUGGACGAAAGUCUGACCGAGCAACGCCGCGUGAGUGAAGAAGGGUGUCGGAUCGUAAAGCUCUGUUGUAAGAGAAGAACGGGUGUGAGAGUGGAAAGUUCACACUGUGACGGUAUCUUACCAGAAAGGGACGGCUAACUACGUG